rnacentral:rRNA from 1 species
GACGAACGCUGGCGGCGUGCUUAACACAUGCAAGUCGUACGGUAAGGCCCUUUCGGGGGUACACGAGUGGCGAACGGGUGAGUAACACGUGAGUAACCUGCCCACAACUUUGGGAUAACGCUAGGAAACUGGUGCUAAUACUGGAUAUGUGCUCCUGCUGCAUGGUGGGGGUUGGAAAGCUCCGGCGGUUGUGGAUGGACUCGCGGCCUAUCAGCUUGUUGGUGGGGUAGUGGCCUACCAAGGCGGCGACGGGUAGCCGGCCUGGGAGGGUGACCGGCCACAUUGGGACUGAGGUACGGCCCAGACUCCUACGGGAGGCAGCAGUGGGGGAUAUUGCAAAAUGGGCGCAAGCCUGAUGCAGCAACGCCGCGUGCGGGAUGACGGCCUUCGGGUUGGAAACCGCUUUCAGCAGGGACGAAGCUUUUUGUGACGGUACCUGCAGAAGAAGCACCGGCUAACUACGUG